GAACGCACCUUGCACCCUUUGGCAUUCCGAAGGGUAUGCUCGUUUGAGUGUCAUUGUACUCUCACACUUCCGAUCUUUGUAUUGGGAGUGGUGGACUUGGGUGUUGCUGCUUACUGUGGCUCACCUCAAAUCGAUUCGUGCACCUCUUGGUUGGACAUAGUACGGCGUGAUAAGUGUCUUCGCCGGCACCUCAGUAGAGGGUGGCUGAUCGGGAGCUCUGUGCUUCAAACCGUCCUCGGACAACAACUGACAACUUGACCUCAAAUCGAGUAGGACUACCCGCUGAACUUA
rnacentral:misc_RNA from 1 species